rnacentral:rRNA from 1 species
AACGAACGCUGGCGGCAUGCCUAACACAUGCAAGUCGAACGAGAUCUUCGGGUCUAGUGGCGCACGGGUGCGUAACGCGUGGGAAUCUGCCCUUUGGUUCGGAAUAACAGUUGGAAACGACUGCUACUACCGGAUGAUGACGAAAGUCCAAAGAUUUAUCGCCAGAGGAUGAGCCCGCGUAGGAUUAGCUAGUUGGUGUGGUAAAGGCGAACCAAGGCGACGAUCCUUAGCUGGUCUGAGAGGAUGAUCAGCCACACUGGGACUGAGACACGGCCCAGACUCCUACGGGAGGCAGCAGUGGGGAAUACUGGACAAUGGGCGAAAGCCUGAUCCAGCAAUGCCGCGUGAGUGAUGAAGGCCUUAGGGUUGUAAAGCUCUUUUACCCGGGAUGAUAAUGACAGUACCGGGAGAAUAAGCUCCGGCUAACUCCGUGCCAGCCGCCGCGGUAA